UACGGAGGAUGCAAGCGUUGUCCGGAUUCAUUGGGUUUAAAGGGUGCGUAGGUGGUUUCGUAAGUCAGUGGUGAAAGCCCGUCGCUUAACGGCGGAACUGCCAUUGAUACUGCUAGUCUUGAGUAUGGUUGAGGUGGGCGGAAUGUGUCAUGUAGCGGUGAAAUGCUUAGAUAUGACCCAGAACACCAAUUGCGAAGGCAGCUCGCUAAGCCAUAACUGACGCUGAGGCACGAAAGCGUGGGGAGCAAACAGG
rnacentral:rRNA from 1 species